GAUGAACGCUGGCGGUAUGCUUAACACAUGCAAGUCGAACGGUCACUUCGGUGAUAGUGGCGGACGGGUGGGUAACGCGUGAGAAUCUGUCUUCAGGUCGGGGACAACAGUUAGAAAUGACUGCUAAUACCGGAUGUGCCUUUGGGUGAAAGAUUUAUUGCCUGAAAAAGAGCUCGCGUCAGAUUAGCUAGUAGGUGGUGUAAGAGACUACCUAGGCUCCGAUCUGUAGCUGGUCUGAGAGGACGAUCAGCCACACUGGAACUGAGACACGGUCCAGACUCCUACGGGAGGCAGCAGUGGGGAAUUUUCCGCAAUGGGCGAAAGCCUGACGGAGCAAUACCGCGUGAGGGACGAAGGCUUUUGGGUCGUAAACCUCUUUUCUCAAGGAAGAUGAUGACGGUACUUGAGGAAUAAGCAUCGGCUAACUCUGUG
rnacentral:rRNA from 1 species